rnacentral:rRNA from 1 species
GACGAACGCUGGCGGCGUGCCUAAUACAUGCAAGUAGAACGCACAGUUUAUACCGUAGCUUGCUACACCAUAAACUGUGAGUUGCGAACGGGUGAGUAACGCGUAGGUAACCUGCCUGGUAGCGGGGGAUAACUAUUGGAAACGAUAGCUAAUACCGCAUAAUAUUAAUUAUUGCAUGAUAAUUGAUUGAAAGAUGCAAUUGCAUCACUACCAGAUGGACCUGCGUUGUAUUAGCUAGUAGGUGAGGUAACGGCUCACCUAGGGGACGAUACAUAGCCGACCUGAGAGGGUGAUCGGCCACACUGGGACUGAGACACGGCCCAGACUCCUACGGGAGGCAGCAGUAGGGAAUCUUCGGCAAUGGACGAAAGUCUGACCGAGCAACGCCGCGUGAGUGAAGAAGGUUUUCGGAUCGUAAAGCUCUGUUGUAAGAGAAGAACGGGUGUGAGAGUGGAAAGUUCACACUGUGACGGUAUCUUACCAGAAAGGGACGGCUAACUACGUG